CAUGCAAGUCGAACGGAGCUUAGAGAGCUUGCUUUUUAAGCUUAGUGGCGAACGGGUGAGUAACGCGUGAGUAACCUGCCCUAGAGUGGGGGACAACAGUUGGAAACGACUGCUAAUACCGCAUAAGCCCACGGUACCGCAUGGUACUGAGGGAAAAGGAUUUAUUCGCUUUAGGAUGGACUCGCGUCCAAUUAGCUAGUUGGUGAGGUAACGGCCCACCAAGGCGACGAUUGGUAGCCGGACUGAGAGGUUGAACGGCCACAUUGGGACUGAGACACGGCCCAGACUCCUACGGGAGGCAGCAGUGGGGGAUAUUGCACAAUGGGGGAAACCCUGAUGCAGCGACGCCGCGUGGAGGAAGAAGGUUUUCGGAUUGUAAACUCCUGUCGUUAGGGACGAUAAUGACGGUACCUAACAAGAAAGCACCGGCUAACUACGUGCCAGCAGCCGCGGUAAAACGUAGGGUGCAAGCGUUGUCCGGAAUUACUGGGUGUAAAGGGAGCGCAGGCGGGAAGACAAGUUGGAAGUGAAAACCAUGGGCUCAACCCAUGAAUUGCUUUCAAAACUGUUUUUCUUGAGUAGUGCAGAGGUAGAUGGAAUUCCCGGUGUAGCGGUGGAAUGCGUAGAUAUCGGGAGGAACACCAGUGGCGAAGGCGGUCUACUGGGCACCAACUGACGCUGAGGCUCGAAAGCAUGGGUAGCAAACAGGAUUAGAUACCCUGGUAGUCCAUGCCGUAAACGAUGAUUACUAGGUGUUGGGGGAUUGACCCCCUCAGUGCCGCAGUUAACACAAUAAGUAAUCCACCUGGGG
rnacentral:rRNA from 1 species